AUGCCUGUAGCUUAUCAGUGGUAAGAGCGUCGGUCUGAUAAGCCGAAAGUCAGUGGUUCAAAUCCACUUAGGCAUACCA
rnacentral:tRNA from 1 species